rnacentral:ncRNA from 1 species
GUGAUAGAGGCGCGGGCUUCAUCAGUAGCCGGAGGGCGACACGGGAAUGUCGCCGGCGAAAGGGGAUCCCGCCGAAGCGUACACGAACCCCGGGCGUGUGCGCUGGGAUCACGCAAAAGAUGCGUGAUACUGUCGUUACACGGUAACGGAGUGCUAUUC